UUGUGUUACCAAGACAUUGGGCAUAAUCAUUUGAGAUUUAAUCUAAUCAUGAAACUAAAUUGAGUAAAUUUGUAAUCAUACAUGAAAUUACCAAGAGAAGUAGUAAUUAGAUGAACCAAAAGGAUCAAUCGCUUUUCUUUCAUUCAAUUUGAAUCCCAAGUUAUUUAUAAGUUUAUGAUAAAAAUUCAAACCAAGUUAAACUCCCCCCU
rnacentral:lncRNA from 1 species